rnacentral:rRNA from 1 species
AUUAAACGCUGGCGGCAUGCCUUACACAUGCAAGUCGAACGGCAGCACGGGGGCAACCCUGGUGGCGAGUGGCGAACGGGUGAGUAAAGCAUCGGAACGUGCCCUGGAGUGGGGGGAUAACGUAGCGAAAGUUACGCUAAUACCGCAUAUUCUGUGAGCAGGAAAGCAGGGGAUCGCAAGACCUUGCGCUCUGGGAGCGGCCGAUGUCGGAUUAGCUAGUUGGUGGGGUAAAGGCCUACCAAGGCGACGAUCCGUAGCGGGUCUGAGAGGAUGAUCCGCCACACUGGGACUGAGAAACGGCCCAGACUCCUACGGGAGGCAGCAGUGGGGAAUUUUGGACAAUGGGCGAAAGCCUGAUCCAGCCAUGCCGCGUGAGUGAAGAAGGCC